rnacentral:rRNA from 1 species
CCCUUCGGGACCGGGGAAAGCGGCGAACGGGUGAGUAACACGUGGGUAAUCUGCCCUUGGUAUCCGGAUAGCCCGGGGAAACCCGGAUUAAUACGGAAUGGCCCUUUGGACCUUCGGGUCUCGAAGGGAAAGGUAGCUUCGGCCUCCGACCGAGGAUGAGCCCGCGGCGGAUUAGCUUGUUGGUGGGGUAACGGCCUACCAAGGCGACGAUCCGUAGCUGGUCUGAGAGGACGAUCAGCCACACUGGGACUGAGACACGGCCCAG